GGUAAACGCUGGCGGCGUGCCUAAAACAUGCAAGUCGAACGGGCAGUCGCAAGACUGUCAGUGGCAGACGGCUGAGUAACGCGUGGGUGACGUACCUGUUGGUGGGGAAUAACUGCCCGAAAGGGUGGCUAAUUCCGCAUAAGUCCUUUGCUUCAGUGUGAAGGGGAAAGCUUCGCAAGAGGCGCCGAUGGAGCGGCCCGCGUCCGAUUAGCUUGUUGGUGGGGUAACGGCCUACCAAGGCGACGAUCGGUAGCUGGUCUUAGAGGAUGA
rnacentral:rRNA from 1 species